rnacentral:rRNA from 1 species
CCUACGGGAGGCUGCAGUGGGGAAUAUUGCACAAUGGGGGCAACCCUGAUGCAGCGACGCCGCGUGAGCGAUGAAGUAUCUCGGUAUGGUAAGCUCCUUCAGUAGGGAAGAAAAUGACGGUACGUGACCAAGAAGCUCCGGCUAACUAGGUGCCAGCAGCCGCGGUAAUACGUAGGCGGCCAGGGUUAUCCGGAUUUACGGGGUGUAAAGGGAGCGUAGACGGUCCUGUAGGUCAGUUGUGAAAGUUCGGGGCUCAACCCCGGGAUUGGAUUUGAAACUGUAAGGCUAGAGUGUAGGAGAGGUAGGCGGAAUUCCUAGUGUAGCGGUGAAAUGCUUAGAUAUCACGAGGAACACCGAUUGCGAAGGCAGCCUGCUAAACGGCCACUGACAUUCAGGCUCGAAAGCGUGGGGAGCAAACAGGAUUAGAUACCCCAGUAGUC